rnacentral:lncRNA from 1 species
UUUAGUGACUCUAAAAUUUUAAAUUUUGAAUACCUCGUUUAUUUUUACAGAUCUAAUUAGCAGCUUUAUUAUAAUUUACAAAACUAUUUCCACUAAAAUAAGUAGUAAGUCUAAAAUUUUUACCAGAAGAGCCAUCCAAUGGCUUGUAGUAGAUAGAUUGAAAGGUUGAGUGUUAAAAUUGAACUUUUAAAACAUGCUAAAAUCUUUAACUAUUUAAAUUGACAGAACAGUCAAUACACGUGGCGGUUAGAGGAUGACCCUAUUCCAUGUGGCGGUUGGAAGCUGAUCCCACCCCUCUCUCUCUCCCAAAAACUGACCGCUCUCUCUCUUUCUCUCUCUCUACCAAAGAGAUCAACCCUCUCUCUCUCCCCAAACCGAUCGCCCCCUCUCCUGAACUAGGGAUGCAAAUAGAUCCGGGUUGGUGGAGCUCCGCCCCGAUCCGCCCUGAAUGGGGUGGUAAGUGGGAACAAAAAAUAUAAAAAAAUAUAAUCCGCUCCGAAUCCGCUCCAAUCCGCCAAGUAAAUGGAGCAGGAGGUGGGAAAUUCUUUUCUUCCCUCAAUCCGUCCCGAUCCGUCAAAAAUCAGGCUCCUGCCCCGAUCCGCCCCGAAUGGAGCGGUAAGUGAGAGCCAAAAAUAAAAUGAAAAGUAACCCGCCCCGAAUCCGCCCCGCCCCGAUAAGAAAUGGAGCGGGAGGUGGGGGAACUCUCCCGCCUUCGGAUCCGCCCCGUUUGCAUCCCUAUCCUGAACUGAUCCCCCUCUCUCUCUUACUCUCUCUCUUUUUCCCUCUUUCUCUCUCUUUCUUUCUCUCUUUCUCUCUCUUCCUCUCUCUUUAUUUCUCUCUUUCUCUCUCUACAAAAUUUAUGCCAUCUCACCAGCAAAUUUCC